UACGUAGGGGGCGAGCGUUGUCCGAAGUUACUGGGCGUAAAGCGCGCGUAGGCGGUCCUUUAAGUUGAUUGUGAAAUCUUCACGGCUCAACCGGAAAACUGCGGUCAAAACUGGGGGACUUGAGAUUGGGAGAGGGAAGUGGAAUUCCUGGUGUAGCGGUGAAAUGCGUAGAUAUUGGGAGGAACACCAGUGGCGAAGGCGGCUCACUGGACCGGUACUGACGCUGAGGCGCGAAAGCUAGGGUAGCAAACGGG
rnacentral:rRNA from 1 species